rnacentral:lncRNA from 1 species
AGAUGAGUCUUCCUGAGACCCUGUGCCCUUGAGAAACUGUGCCCUUCUGACCUGGGGGCGUCCAUCCUUCUCCUGUAGGCUGCAGUGGGUCCUGUGAGGACUUCAAGGGCACGAACCCGCAUGGAGAUGCUUAUGGGACUUUCCUCAUUUUCUCCUUUCACUCUGUCUCUUUCAGAAACCUCCUCUUUCGUAUCAUAUGAUUGGCUUUGGCUUUGAGAAAGUUGCAACUAGGAGACCCCAAAUGAGGAUGUCUUGCCAGCUCUUCAUAUUUUGACGGGCUUUUCCCAGCUCUGCCCUUCAGCUGGUCGGAAACCAUGGCCAUGGAAAGCCUCCUUUUCGCUUGAUACAGACCCUCAAGCCAAACAGAUGGAGACUAUCACUCAAGGUAAGAACUCCCAUUUCUCUGACCUGUAUGGGGUUACAAGAUCACCUCGGACCAGUCAACUGAGUCUGGGUGGGUGGGU